UACGUAGGGGGCUAGCGUUGUCCGGAUUUAUUGGGCGUAAAGAGCGUGUAGGCGGCCAGGUAGGUCUGCUGUGAAAACUCGAGGCUCAACCUCGAGACGUCGGCGGAAACCAUCUGGCUAGAGUCCGGAAGAGGAGAGUGGAAUUCCUGGUGUAGCGGUGAAAUGCGCGGAUAUCAGGAAGAACACCCGUGGCGAAGGCGGCUCUCUGGGACGGUACUGACGCGUGAGACGGCGAAAAGCGUGGGGAG
rnacentral:rRNA from 1 species